GCGCACCAGGCGCGAAAACUUUACAAUGCGGGAAACCGUGAUAAGGGAACCUCGAGUGCUGGCGCAUAGCGUCGGCUGUCCAGAUGCCUAAAAAGCAUCUGAUAGCAAGGGCCGGGCAAGACCGGUGCCAGCCGCCGCGGUAACACCGGCGGCUCGAGUGGUGGCCACGUUUAUUGGGUCUAAAGCGUACCGUAGCCGGCUCGGCAAGUCCCCCUGGGAAAUCUGGCGGCUCAACCGUCAGGCGUCCAGAGGAUACUGCUGGGGCUUGGGACCGGGAGAGGUGAGAGGUACCUCAGGGGUAGGGGUGAAAUCUUGUGAUCCCUGAGGGACCACCAGUGGCGAAGGCGUCUCACUA
rnacentral:rRNA from 1 species